GUUUUUACAUAAAUAGGUAUGCAUGUAGGGUUAAGAUAUUUAUAUCUUCCCAUAUUGAUGAUUCUAAAGUUGAUUUUUGUCUUCUCGAGUGAGACGAUGAGGCUAUGAAGUGCACGCCCCUUUGAGAAUUAGUGUCCUUAACCACUUCAAUCCACAUGCUCUAUCUUCCAAGCCUUUGCUGGGCCUUGAAUCUCUAGCAACCACAGACCAAGG
rnacentral:lncRNA from 1 species